CCUGCAAAACGAAUCUAAGUUCCCCCUUAACCCUCUUUUUCCUCCCCAGACAAACCCAACCCAAAUGUGAUAGUUAAGGGCUAUUUAAAGGGGGUACAGCCCCUUUAAAAAAGGACACAACCUCCACCAGCGGAUAACCCCUGUACGCCCAACCCCGUGGGCCUUAAAGCAGCCACCCCCAAAGAUUGCGUCAAAGCUCCAUCAACCAAAAACCCCCAAAACCAAUGCGACUCCCUACACCCACAGCAGGCCAACCUAUAACAAUAGAUGAGUCAAUGCUAGAACGAGUAACCAGGACACUACGUCCCCCUAAGCGCCAGCCUGUAUACCAUUAACAGUAAAACCUCAAUAAUAACCACCCCCACCAUUGAACCCACCCUGUCAACCCAACUCAGGGGCGCACACUGGAGUGAUCAAAAUCUACAAAAGGAACUCGGCAAACCUAAGACCCGACUGUUUACCAAAAACAUAGCCUUCAGCCAAACAAGUAUUGAAGGUGAUGCCUGCCCAGUGACACCAUGUUUAACGGCCGCGGUA
rnacentral:rRNA from 1 species